GUAAACACAAUAAGCAUUCCGCCUGGGGAGUACGGCCGCAAGGUUGAAACUCAAAGGAAUCGACGGGGGCCCGCACAAGCAGCGGAGUAUGUGGUUUAAUUCGACGCAAGGCGAAGAACCUUACCAGGUCUUGACAUCCAGUAAAAGCCAUAGAGAUAUGGUGUGGCUUCGGCCGACCGAAGACAGGUGGUGCAUGGUUGUCGUCAGCUCGUGUCGUGAGAUGUUGGGUUAAGUCCCGCAACGAGCGCAACCCUUAUGGUCAGUUACUAACGCGUGAAGGCGAGGACUCUGACAAGACUGCCGGGGACAACUCGGAGGAAGGUGGGGACGACGUCAAAUCAUCAUGCCCCUUAUGACCUGGGCUACAAACGUGCUACAA
rnacentral:rRNA from 1 species